UCAAAGGAUCACACAACUUUUAUAUUCAUUAAAGUUCAUAUGAUGGCUAGAGUGUCCCUUUAUAAUGGCAUCAAAUGGGCGUUGGCUGAUCAGAUGUCAAAAUGAAAAAAGCACACCUCCUAAAUGUGGCCUUUUAGCCCCCAAUCAACCCAACAAACCCAUGCAUGGGUGGUAUCACUGUACUCAGGAGAUGUUCCUGAACACAUAUUGGGGUGUUGAAAUCAGUGGGAAUCUCCAGAUGUAAAUUCAUACCUAAAGUGUGUGUGAAAAGAAGAAAAAAUGACUACCACAAAUGUUGACAAGGGCUGAUGGUAGAAUUAGCGCAUGGAAAAA